CAAUAGCGUAUAUUAAAGUUGUUGCGGUUAAAAGCUCGUAGUUGGAUUUCUGCUUGGGUGGGCCGAUGUGCCUUCUGGGCUUUAGUCAGCCGGAUUCCAGGUCCUGCAGCAUCUUCUUUGGGUAAUUCGGAUGUCUGCACUUGACUGUGUGGCACGGGUUCCAGGACUUUACUUUGAGGAAAUUAGAGUGUUUCACGCAGGCGUCCGCCUUGAAUACGUUAGCAUGGAAUAAUGCGACAGGACCUCGGUCCAUUUUGUUGGUUUCUUGGGUUGAGGUAAUGAUUAACAGGGAUGGUUGGGGCAUUGCGUAUUUAAUCUGUCAGAGGUGAAAUUCUUGGAUUUGUUAAAGACGAACUACUGCGAAAGCAUUUGCCAAGGAUGUUUUCAUUGAUCAAGAACGAAAGUUAGGGGAUCGAAGAUGAUCAGAU
rnacentral:rRNA from 1 species